AACGUAGGACACAAGCGUUAUCCGGAGUUAUUGGGCGUAAAGAGCUUGUAGGCGGUCUGUCGCGUCUGCUGUGAAAAUCCGGGGCUCAACCCCGGACUUGCAGUGGGUACGGGCAGACUAGAGUGUGGUAGGGGAGACUGGAAUUCCUGGUGUAGCGGUGAAAUGCGCAGAUAUCGGGAGGAACACCAGUAGCGAAGGCGGCUCGCUGGGCCAUUCCUGACGCUGAGGCACGAAGGUCAGGGGAGCAAACGGG
rnacentral:rRNA from 1 species